rnacentral:lncRNA from 1 species
GGGGGUCUCUUUUAUAGAAGAGAGAGCGUAACCGAUUGACAGCGACGUCCAUAACUGCCUGGUAGUGGGUCGUUGGGGCUACGUGGAGUUUGUUACGGAGAGUAGUGGUGUCUGUUAUCACGACUUACCGAAGAGUGGUGGGGCCACAUGGAGUUUGUUACAGAGAGUGGAGUGGUGUCCGUUGUCAUGACUUGCCAGAGAGUUCGGGCCAGACGGCUGAAGCUCGGUUGGAACGUCUGGUGGAGCGGAAUAGCUCUCUGUCUCAGUAAUCUAAGAGAAGCUCGAAUAUUUUCGAGGUUGCUGAUGGGUUAACUAUUAUUGGGUGCCUUAGGCGUUGAUGCUGCAGACAGAAGUCAUCUGCUGUAGAAGCCCGGAUGGAAACUUUCUGUUGGAGAAAUCUGGCUGGAGUCCGAUUGCUAGAGAAGUCCGUUUGGAAUUUAUCUGAUGUAGAAGCUUAUCUGAAGACUGUUCGCUGGAGAGGUCCGAUUGCAUGAGGAAUCUGAC